UGGUAGUAUUCCUAGUGUGGC
rnacentral:miRNA from 1 species